AGUGAACGCUGGCGGUAGGCCUAACACAUGCAAGUCGAACGGCAGCACAGUAAGAGCUUGCUCUUACGGGUGGCGAGUGGCGGACGGGUGAGGAAUACAUCGGAAUCUACUUUUUCGUGGGGGAUAACGUAGGGAAACUUACGCUAAUACCGCAUACGACCUACGGGUAAAAGCAGGGGAUCUUCGGACCUUGCGCGAUUGAAUGAGCCGAUGUCGGAUUAGCUAGUUGGCGGGGUAAAGGCCCACCAAGGCGACGAUCCGUAGCUGGUCUGAGAGGAUGAUCAGCCACACUGGAACUGAGACACGGUCCAGACUCCUACGGGAGGCAGCAGUGGGGAAUAUUGGACAAUGGGCGCAAGCCUGAUCCAGCCACACCGCGUGGGUGAAGAAGGCCUUCGGGUUGUAAAGCCCUUUUGUUGGGAAAGAAAAGCAGCAGGUUAAUACCCCGCUGUUCUGACGGUACCCAAAGAAUAAGCACCGGCUAACUUCGUG
rnacentral:rRNA from 1 species